UGUUCAAAGAUCCGAAUUCACAGUCUCCU
rnacentral:piRNA from 1 species